rnacentral:rRNA from 1 species
UACGGGGGGGGUAAGCGUUGUUCGGAAUUACUGGGCGUAAAGGGCUCGUAGGCGGCCAACUAAGUCAUACGUGAAAUCCCUCAGCUUAACUGGGGAACUGCGUCUGAUACUGGCGAGCUUGAGUGCAGGAGAGGAACGCGGAAUUCCAGGUGUAGCGGUGAAAUGCGUAGAUAUCUGGAGGAACACCGGUGGCGAAGGCGGCGUUCUGGACUGCAACUGACACUGAUGAACGAAAGCCAGGGGAGCAAACGGG